rnacentral:snRNA from 1 species
GGAUGUGACUGCGAUCUGGCUGCGACAUCUGUCACCCCAUUGAUCGCCAGGGUUGAUUCGACUGAUCUGGCUGGCUAGGCAGGUGUCCCCUCCCUCCCUCACCGCUCCAUGUGCGUCCCUCCUGAAGCUGCCCACUCGGUCGAAGAUGACGACCAUCCCCAUUAGAGCAGGACCGGUCUUCAGUCAAGGGUAUACGAGUAGCUGAGCUCCCCUGCUAGAACCUCCAAACAAGCUCUCAAGGUCCAAAUGUCUGCAACAGCUAAAGCUGGAGCCAGGCCACAGUCAGGAGUUAUGAACUCAGUUAGGGCCUUCCACGUAGCAGAGACAGAACU